rnacentral:rRNA from 1 species
GUCGCUAAGAGAUGAGCCCGCGUCGGAUUAGCUAGUUGGUAGGGUAAAGGCCUACCAAGGCGACGAUCCGUAACUGGUCUGAGAGGAUGAUCAGUCACACUGGAACUGAGACACGGUCCAGACUCCUACGGGAGGCAGCAGUGGGGAAUAUUGGACAAUGGGGGCAACCCUGAUCCAGCCAUGCCGCGUGUGUGAAGAAGGCCUUCGGGUUGUAAAGCACUUUAAGUUGGGAGGAAAGGGUGCUGGCUAAUAUCCAGUAUCUAUGACGUUACCAACAGAAUAAGCACCGGCUAACUCCGUGCCAGCAGCCGCGGUAAUACGGAGGGUGCAAGCGUUAAUCGGAAUUACUGGGCGUAAAGCGCGCGUAGGCGGCUAGUUAAGCUAGAUGUGAAAUCCCUGGGCUCAACCUGGGAACUGCAUUUAGAACUGACUGGCUAGAGUGCAGAAGAGGAGUGUGGAAUUUCCGGUGUAGCGGUGAAAUGCGUAGAGAUCGGAAGGAACAUCAGUGGCGAAGGC